CGUUGAAUCACCGGUUCUCGUAUGAUCACCGAAGUUAAGCAACGUCGAACCUGGUAAGUAUCUAGAUGGGUGAGUGCUUGGGAAUAACAGGUGCAGUAA